CUACGGGGGGCAGCAGUGAGGAAUAUUGCACAAUGGGGGGAACCCUGAUGCAGCAACGCCGCGUGGAGGAUGACGCAUUUCGGUGUGUAAACUCCUUUUAUAUGUCAAGAAAAUGACGGUAGCAUAUGAAUAAGCACCGGCUAACUCCGUGCCAGCAGCCGGUGGUAAUACGGAGGGUGCAAGCGUUACUCGGAAUCACUGGGCGUAAAGGACGCGUAGGCGGGUUGGAAAGUCAGGUGUGAAAUCCUACAGCUUAACUGUAGAACUGCACUUGAAACUUCUAAUCUAGAGUAUGGGAGGGGGAGAUGGAAUUAGUGGUGUAGGGGUAAAAUCCGUAGAUAUCACUAGGAAUACCUAAAGCGAAGGCGAUCUCCUGGAACAUUACUGACGCUAAGGCGUGAAAGCGUGGGGAGCAAACAGGAUUAGAUACCCGGGUAGUC
rnacentral:rRNA from 1 species